UACUGUGAUAAAGCGUUGGAGGAUAUCAGUACCUACUGUAGUGUGGCCUCCGCGUCACUCACCACAACACCGCAGUCACCCCUACUACGUUCUCCCACACACAACGGUUUACAACAUGGCGACAACAGUGAGCAGUUCUCUUUCUAGAAUCCUAACCAGUAUCCUACCAAAGCCCGUCCACUGCUCCUCCCUCACCUCAACCAUCACCAGCCUUCAAAAAUCUCACAUUACGUCAAAACCAAAGUCUCAUGUAGUGACAGACGAGGAGGUUCGUUUACACAUGGAGGCGCUGGAGAGGUUGCAAGAAUCCACCCAGCAGCUUCAGGAAGUGUGGCCUCUACUCCAGGGCCUUCAUGCUGACACCACCCUUAACGCCACCUCCCGAGACCUCUUCAGUAAAUUAAAGGAAGAUGGCCUGUUGGAUGUUCGACGUAGCUGGAUCGUCACCGCAAAUUAAUGAAACGAUCCACCAGAGGCUGUUAAAAGACCCAACAAGCGCAUGAUGGUAACAAGAAGUCAUAAGAACUAAGUUUAACGAAAAAAUAAUAAUAAGCAACAAAUGGGAGAUGGUGAGUGUGCAAGGAGGAGGUAGAGGAGGGAUUGUACUGUACCUUGUCUUGAUUGUACUGACACAGGUGUUAGUGAUUGUACUGCGCCUUAGAAAGUGUGAUAAUAAUGUUUAUUUGACGCAAUCAUUUGUGGUUGUACUAUGCUUAAGAAAGUGUGAUUUUUGUCUUGUUCGCACCUGACGAAAGCGUUAGUGGCUGCACUACGCUUGAGAGCGAGAGAGAGAGAGAGAGAGAGAGAGAGAGAGAGUACAUAAUCAACUUGGUAAUAUUAUAAAUGGAAGUUUGGGUUAUUCUUCUCCAUGUUUACGUAACUUAACGACAUGACUUACCCUUAACGUGUGUGUUUGUGUGUGUGUAAAGUAUCAAACAAACUGCAAAAUAUAACGACAAUCUAUUAAAAAAAAUAAAAGUGUACAAAACCAAA